rnacentral:rRNA from 1 species
UGGGGAAUAUUGGACAAUGGGCGCAAGCCUGAUCCAGCCAUACCGCGUGGGUGAAGAAGGCCUUCGGGUUGUAAAGCCCUUUUGUUGGGAAAGAAAUCCAGCCGGUUAAUACCUGGUUGGGAUGACGGUACCCAAAGAAUAAGCACCGGCUAACUUCGUGCCAGCAGCCGCGGUAAUACGAAGGGUGCAAGCGUUACUCGGAAUUACUGGGCGUAAAGCGUGCGUAGGUGGUCGUUUAAGUCCGUUGUGAAAGCCCUGGGCUCAACCUGGGAACUGCAGUGGAUACUGGGCGACUAGAGUGUGGUAGAGGGUAGCGGAAUUCCUGGUGUAGCAGUGAAAUGCGUAGAGAUCAGGAGGAACAUCCAUGGCGAAGGCAGCUACCUGGACCAACACUGACACUGAGGCACGAAAGCGUGGGGAGCAAACAGGAUUAGAUACCCUGGUAGUCCACGCCCUAAACGAUGCGAACUGGAUGUUGGGUGCAAUUUGGCACGCAGUAUCGAAGCUAACGCGUUAAGUUCGCCGCCUGGGGAGUACGGUCGCAAGACUGAAACUCAAAGGAA